rnacentral:rRNA from 1 species
UACGAAGGGGGCUAGCGUUGUUCGGAAUUACUGGGCGUAAAGCGCGCGCAGGCGGUCUUCCAAGUCAGUGGUGAAAGCCCGGAGCUCAACUCCGGAACUGCCAUUGAAACUGUGAGACUGGAGUACGAGAGAGGUGAGUGGAAUUCCCAGUGUAGAGGUGAAAUUCGUAGAUAUUGGGAAGAACACCGGUGGCGAAGGCGGCUCACUGGCGCGUAACUGACGCUCAGGCGCGACAGCGUGGGGAUCAAACAGG